rnacentral:rRNA from 1 species
AACGAACGCUGGCGGCGUGCUUAACACAUGCAAGUCGAGCGCGAAAGGGACUUCGGUCCUGAGUAAAGCGGCAGACGGGUGAGUAACACGUGGAUAACCUAUCCCUUGGUGGGGGAUAACUACUCGAAAGGGUGGCUAAUACCGCAUAAGACCGUGUGUUUUCGGACAUACGGUGAAAGAUUUAUUGCCGAGGGAGGGGUCCGCGUCCGAUUAGCUAGUAGGUGAGGUAAUGGCUCACCUAGGCGACGAUCGGUAGCUGGUCUGAGAGGAUGAUCAGCCACACUGGUACUUAGAUACGGACCAGACUCCUACGGGAGGCAGCAGUGGGGAAUAUUGCGCAAUGGACGAAAGUCUGACGCAGCAACGCCGCGUGGGUGAAGAAGGCCUUAGGGUCGUAAAGCCCUGUCAGAUGGGAAGAAACCUACCCUUGAGGUAGCUGACGGUACCAUCAAAGGAAGCACCGGCUAACUCUGUGCCAGCCGCCGCCGUAACAC